rnacentral:misc_RNA from 1 species
CGGUGUGACCGUAUAUGCUGAACAUUGUGGGAUACGAAACUGUAGAAAGCUAUUCUACGGAUCGAAUUUCAUCAUCACAAUGAGUUCAGUAUGAAAGGUGUGACCGGAGCAAUUUUCAACUGAAUACUUCAUAAAAACUUUCAUUUGAUUAAUUUCAAAUAUUUGAUCUCAAAUCAGGCAAGACUACCCGCUGAACUUAA